CCUAAAGAUUUUCCAUCUUCUCAUCUAGCAUCUGUUGUGGUAAGUCUAUCUUUUCAGCUCUGUUCUGCCAGUCCCUGCUUUUCAGUGCUUCUGUAAGUUCCUUUAAUCCUAGGUUUGUUCCACCUCUGAAGUCCUCUGGUGUAUAACGUCCCAUGUCUCAGGAGAAUGCUCCCAAAUGCCUGUGCCCUGUGCUUGGUGGCCUCUUACUGAUUGCUGGAGCAAGACCUUCCCCAUAGAUCCUGGGUGACUGAGACAUGAUUUCCACUGUGGUUCCAGUCUAUGAAACAGGAAACAAGCUGUAUCAAGGAGUCAGCAUCUCCAAAAAGGAAAGGAGAGGAAGUAAGAUUGGGUAAAAAGAAAAGUCCAAUAAUCAAGUAAGUCUACUAAAACCUUCAUUGAUCAGCCAGGGGCUUUGACACAGAAUUGACCACUGAAAUGUCUGCAACUGGGUCCCAAAGGCUGGGUCUUUCAACCUCACCUUUCAAUGCCAGACAAAGGGUGCAUUGGUGAGACACAAUCUGAGGAAUGGAGGGAGCUCUCUGCAGGUGAGGUGGACACAGAAGGAGCCUUUCAGGAGCAGGCUGUCCACUAGAUUCCUGUGGCUGAGUGGCAUGCUCUUCCUUGAUGCGAUAUCUAUGCAGUGUAUCCCUGUGACCGCUCAUAUACACUCCAGCUGCAGACUUUGAGAAGGCAUGUUUAGUAUAAUAAAAAAUACUGAACUCAAACAGGAGUGGCACGUGCAUACACAUUUGAAGAUCAUCAAUGUUCUGGUAGAUAGAGCAAGGUUACUCUGAGAAGACCAUUUUAUGUGAGAUUAAACAAAGACCGAAUUCAUUUAAAUCCUCCUCCAUUGAGGAUAACGACCUUUACACGAAUGUUCGCUGAAAGAUCUGUGAAAGGCUAGGUCAGCAGCAAGGAGCACUUAUAGAACCAAAAGACAAUACUGAACUAUGAUUUUCAGCUAAAAGAAACCAAGACACCUUAAAGAGAAGCAUGAUUCAAGGUCCGGGAACAAAUGGAUCUGAGUAAUCCAAAAUAUUUGUCCCACAGCAUAGCAAGGGGUGGAACAAAGGACGCUAAAACCAUGUCAAAAGACUCAAGAACAAGUUCAAAGAUGCUCCUUUUGAUUAAAAAAAGAAUAAUUGAAACAUCAGUAAGAGUAGGAAAAUAGAAUACAUUUACAUUUUUGACUUAACAAUGAGUCCUUAAAAGUUGAUCAGUUACCUUUGAGUGAUGACAGGAAAUCAGUCGAUUUCCUCAGAGAUUAACGAGGAGGCUGAAAGAGUGGUACUCAGUUUGCUCUCCUAAAUGAACUGGGCCCCUGGGUGGCCACGUGGUAAAUAAGGGAGACAACUCAACAGACCCGGUUAAUAAAGGGAAGCAAAAUCUCAGCAUUAGAGGACCAGCACAUGACGACUGCAAUAAAUCAGCGGGUCUGCUCAAUAGAAAUAUCACAAACAAGAGACAUGGCCAAGCAUUACGUGCCCCUCAGCAAACAAACACCACACCAUCUGUAGUCUUGCCAAAAAGAUCAAACCUAAGUCUGAUUGAGCCCUCAGAACCCGCUGCCAUUUUUAAAGAAAUCCAGGGGACAGAGGAAUGUAUUGAACUCCACCAUGAGCAUGCAAUUAGCAAAAUCCAGAUGGUAGGAAACGCUGAGGCCAGACUCGGGUAUUCAACAGAGAAAUUAGGAGAAGAAAAACAUAGGAAACCUGUAGAGGAAGAAAAAGAUUGAAGGCUUAAAAGACAGUUUUUAAGUGAGUGAGGAUCGGCCCCAUAGUGUCUAAGGACUAAGACAUGGCUGAUACCUGUCCUUACAUAAUCAUGUGCUUAUCACAAAAAUCAGAAAACACCUAUUGAAGGAAGAGGGUGCUGAGAUCAGUCCAGCAGUGGAUGGCUCCUGGGCAGCUGGCAAAAUCCUACAGUUUGAUUUCCAUAAAUGUUUGCAAUAAUGUUGAUAUUUUUAGUAUUUUACUAGCCUAUAUGUUUGUAUAAGUUUCUAUUUGUGUUUUCUUUUAUAAUAAAAUGUCGUGCUCACACACACACACACACACACACACACACACACACACACACACACACCCUUGUUUUGUGAUGCACAGUUAAAGCUGUACUCAGAGGGUAAUUUGUAGUUUUAAAUAUUUACAUUAGAAGAGAAGCUAGAUGGUAAUUAGUCAAUGAGGCAGAAAAAAGUAAAAUGAAGAAAAGGACGUAGAAUAAGACAAAUCAUGUAUUGUGGAAAAUAUUAUUUGGGUGGUUCUACCCCACCUUAGAUGUUUAGUUCCCAAAUAAAAGACACAAACCUUUACAUAUAUAAUAAGCCUUAAAGCACUAGAGCUGGGCAGACAUCAACUCUGUGCCAGUUUGUCUACUUCCCUGUCAAUAAUCCUGAGAUAUCACUUGCUGUCUUCUGCCUGGGCUGCUUCUACUCCAACUGGACGGCACUCAUGGACGUGUGCUCACGACCCACCAACCUGUGGCACCUUCCUCCUCCUCUUCCUCCUCUUCCUCCUCUCUCUCUCUCUCUCUCUCUCUCUCUCUCUCUCUCUCUCUCAAGUCCCAUGUACUUCUCUUUUUCCCAGCUACAGCCUGUAGGCAUCUUCAUUAACCAAUCAAUUGGAAGGCAAGGUCUAUACAACAAAAGCUGGUACAAGUGAGGAUCUCCUUAUGUUGAGGCAAUUAGACCCUGAGAUACAGAAUUUAGUAUUAUGGUACAUAGCAACAGACCAAAUCUCAACAAUCAUGGAGGUGGGAUCUGGAAUUAAUAUAAUGAAAAUAACGCCAACAAAAAAGACUUCCUGGAAACUUUAAAAAGUCAUAAAACUGAAAAAGAUUUUGAUACGAUUCAUUGAGAGAGACGCCCAUAGAUAAAUUCCAGCAUGCUUCAGAAACAAGACGUUCUUGCUAGAUUAAAAGAAUAAAGUAAAAAAAAAAUCUAUGCCAGCAACAUUUGAAAAUAGGUGUAAACAAGGAAAGCUUCCUUGACCCUGUUGGAAGACUCUUCUCAAACCAGUCUCAGACAAAAAGAUAAGAAAUAUGAAGGGAGUGCUCAUAGAUCUUCCUAAAAGGAAAAGCUGUGUCCAGAUAAGCCACACAGGUUUGUGGGCUUCAGUUAUCACUUCUACAGCAUUCAAUAUGUCAUCAGGGGACCUACUCAACCAGUAAGAUGAAUAUGAUAAAUCAAACAUAUGUUUAUAAAGAAAAAUUAGAUGGAGAUAUAGCCUAUAGAUGAUAUGGCUUGCCACCUUAAGUCAUCUUAGGUAAUUAUUUGUAGAUUCAUUAAAUCUGAUAUAUAUAUAUAUAUAUAUAUAUAUAUAUAUAUAUAUAUAUAUAUACUCAGAAAGAAGACCAGCUCAAAUUUAAGAUGGCUGAUGGAACUAAGUAGGUGUUUUGCCCCAAAGAAAACAUGUGACUGGGCAGAAAGAAUUCGAAAAACCAUGCUCAACCUUGUUUGAGGUUGCAUCUUUGGGAAAAUGCAAAUCAAAACCAGUUAUUCCCUUCUAGCUAUUAAAAUGGCUGCUAUUUAAAAGCCCAAAGACAACAAGUGCUGGUGAGAAUGUAAAAAAGAAAGAACAGUAGUAGCAUCCUGUUGGUGGGAAGUGAAAGUAGCAUAGCUCUCAUGCAAAACCGUUCCUCGGAAAGUUAAAAGUGGAUCUACCAUCCGAUCCAGCAGACACACGUGCUGGCCUAGGUGCAAAGCAAUAGCAUUGCUAUCUCAUAGACGUUUCUCGACUCCUGUGCUCUACUGCAUUAUUUAUGAUGCCCCAGACAGGAAGACAACCCAAAUUACCAUGGUCAGCUGAAUGGAUGAAGAUGCACACAUGGUUAUUACCAAGCAUGUAAACAUAGAGGGGUGGCCGUGGCAGCCAUCUUCCAGUAACUCACCAAAAUGACAAACACAAAGGGAAAGAGGAGAGACACUUGGUGUAUGUUCUCUAGGUCUUUUAGGAAACAUGGAGUUGUUCCUUUGUCCACAUACAUGUGAAUCUACAAGAAGGGUAAUGUUGUAGACAUCAAGGGAAUUGGCACUGUUCAAAAAGGAAUGACUCAUAAGUGUUAUCACAGCAAAACCAGAAGAGUCUACAAUGUCACCACAGCAUGCCCUGAGAAUCAAACAAGUUAAGGGCAAGAUUCUGGCCAAGAGGAUCAACAUGUGAACACAUCGAGUACUCGAAGAGCAGAGACAAUUUCCUGAAGGGGGUGAAGGAGAACGAUCAGAGGAAAUGGAAGCCACAGAGAAGGGCACCUGGGUUCUGCUGAAGCGUGCCAGCCUGUGCCACCCAGAGAACACACUUUGUGAGGACUAAUGGGAAGGAGCCUGAGCUGCUGGAGCCCAUGCCAUUCGGAUUCACGACCUAAUGGACAAAAAGGAAAUAAAGGACCCGGACUGCAUCAAACCUAUAGUUACAGAGUGGUGGUUACUGGAGGCCAGGAGAUGAGGGGAAAGUGAAGAUAUUGGUCAAAGGAUACGAAUCUUCAAUAACAAGAUGAAAAAGUUCUAGAGACUUCAUGUACAGUUUGGUAAAUGUAGCUAUUUACCAAGUGUAUGGCAGACUUAAAAUCUGCUGAGUCAGCCAGAACUGUUUUUCUAUAGUGUUAACUAUGUGAGGUUACAGACAUGCAAACUAACUUGAUGUUAGAAGUAAUCUUGCAAAUAUUGAAACAUCAUGUUGUGUACCUCAAAUACAUUAUAAUUUCAUAAAGUUUGAGAUUACAACAUUUAUUCCUUCCUUCCCCUUCCAAAACUUUCCAUGUUCUCCUACCCAGUCUCAUUCGAAUUCUUGGCUCCUUUUUCACUAAUUAUUUUAACAUAUAUAACUCUUACUUGUCAAUCUAUGUCAACUCAGCUAGAAAAGAAGAAUGGACAGGUGGCAGCUGUAACAUUUUUAUCAUUCAUAACACCAAUUUUCCGAAUGCAUUUUGUGUCUGUGCAAGAGAUUCAAAAUCCCAGAUUCCAGAAUCAGACAGCCCCCUCAAUGAAUCAUAGGAACACCAGUCUCCUAUAAAGGAAGGGUCCUUUCUGUUGGGCUUUCUGCAGGGCUUAGAGUAAUCAGGACCACAUGUUCUCUUAGAGCUGCUCCCAGGAGGGCAGGAAGAGGAAGGAGCCGGGCAUGAGAGCCAAGUUUAUCCUUCCAAGCCAUAAAUCAGAUUAUGUAGCUUCUUCUCCCCCAGGGCCAGAGUGAGUGAGGGGCAGAGACAGGCCAGGAUCUCUUCGUAGGUGGAGUUCCCUUCACAUGGAAGGAAAAAGGAAGGAAAAAGGACCAUCUGUUGGUAUGCAAGGGUGUUGGGUGCAGGCGCCCUGAGGAUAUUAAACUUUGUGACUGCUUGCUCCCUUAUCUAAAAUCCGCGGUGUUUGUGUGUAACCUACAUACAUCCUCCUGGAUGUUUAAAACCAUCCCUAGACUGUCAUAACUAAUACUUAUAAAUAUGCCGUACAAAUAGUUUUUUCAGUAUAUUGUUUAGUGAAUGAUGACAUGAAUAGAGAGGUUUUUUUUUGUUUGUUUGUUUGUUUUUUUGUUUUUGUUUUUUUUCUUUUUCUGGGUAGUUUUGAAACUGGUUGAUUGAGUCUGUGAUAUGAAGCCUGUGAAUGUUGGAUUGUAUUAAGAGUGGGGAAAUGGGGAAGGAGUUACUCGCUUCACACACACACACACACACACACACACACACACACACACACACACACACACACA